UUACCUGGGCUUGAACUGUAAUGGACCGGUGCAGAGAUGUGCCUUUUCGCAAGAACUGUUACAGAGGUGCUGCAUGGCUGUCGUCAGCUCGUGUCGUGAGAUGUUGGGUUAAGUCCCGCAACGAGCGCAACCCUUACCCUUAGUUGCCAGCGAGUCAAGUCGGGAACUCUAAGGGGACUGCCCGGGUUAACCGGGAGGAAGGUGGGGAUGAUGUCAAGUCCUCAUGGCCCUUACGUCCAGGGCUACACACGUGCUACAAUGGGCGAUACAAACCGUUGCUAAGUCGCGAGAUGGAGCUAAUCGGAAAAAGUCGUCCUCAGUUCGGAUUGCAGGCUGCAACUCGCCUGCAUGAAGUUGGAAUCGCUAGUAAUCGUGUAUCAGAAUGAUACGGUGAAUACGUUCCCGGGCCUUGUACACACCGCCCGUCACAUCACGAAAGCCGGGAGCACUUGAAGAGGCUGUGGCAACCGAAAGGGGCUAGGUCUCUAUGGUGAACUUGGUGAUUGGGGUGAAGUCGUAACAAGGUAGCC
rnacentral:rRNA from 1 species